AUACGUAGGUGGCAAGCGUUAUCCGGAUUUACUGGGUGUAAAGGGCGCGUAGGCGGGGGUGCAAGUCAGAUGUGAAAUCUAUGGGCUUAACUCAUAAACUGCAUUUGAAACUGUAUCUCCUGAGUGCUGGAGAGGUAGACGGAAUUCCUUGUGUAGCGGUGAAAUGCGUAGAUAUAAGGAAGAACACCAGUGGCGAAGGCGGUCUACUGGACAGUAACUGACGCUGAGGCGCGAAAGCGUGGGGAGCAAACAGGAUUAGAUACCCUGGUAGUCCACGCUGUAAACGAUGAAUACUAGGUGUGGGGGGACUGACCCCCUCCGUGCCGCAGUUAACACAAUAAGUAUUCCACCUGGGGAGUACGGCCGCAAGGUUGAAACUCAAAUGAAUUGACGGGG
rnacentral:rRNA from 1 species